rnacentral:rRNA from 1 species
UACGUAGGUGGCAAGCGUUUGUCCGGAUUUAUUGGGUUUAAAGGGUGCGUAGGCGGUUCUAUAAGUCAGUGGUGAAAUCCGGCAGCUCAACUGUCGAUGUGCCAUUGAUACUGCAGAACUUGAGUACAGACGAGGUAGGCGGAAUUACGGUGUAGCGGUGAAAUGCUUAGAUAUCGUCAAGAACACCGAUAGCGAAGGCAGCUUACUAGACUGUAACUGACGCUGAUGCACGAAAGUGUGGGAU